UUGCGANUGGGCGAAGCCUGACGCAGCGACGCCGCGUGGGGGAUGAAGCUUUUCGGAGCGUAAACCCCUUUCGACCCGGAAGAAAGCCCGCAAGGGUCUGACGGUACGGGUAUAAGAAGCCCCGGCUAACUACGUGCCAGCAGCCGCGGUAAAACGUAGGGGGCCAGCGUUGCUCGGAAUUACUGGGCGUAAAGGGUCUGUAGGCGGUGCGGCAAGUCGGAAGUGAAAUUCCAGGGCUUAACUCUGGGGCUGCUUCCGAAACUGCUGUGCUCGAGUGUGAGAUAGGCGAGUGGAAUUGCAGGUGUAGCGGUGAAAUGCGUAGAUAUCUGCAGGAACAUCCGAGGCGAAAGCGGCUCGCCGGAUCACAACUGACGCUGAGAGACGAAAGCUAGGGGAGCAAACAGGAUUAGAUACCCUGGUAGUCCUAGCCCUAAACGAUCAGGACUUGGCGUGAGCCCUGUACGGGGCUCGUGCCGUAGCUAACGCGAUAAGUCCUGCGCCUGGGGAGUACGGUCGCAAGGCUAAAACUCAAAGAAAUUGACGGA
rnacentral:rRNA from 1 species